rfam:Vibrio rumoiensis 1S-45 1S-45_contig_23, whole genome shotgun sequence.
GAAACCCCUCUGCCUAAAUUUUGCUUUGUGUAGUGCCAGUAUUUUUGCGUAAGUCGUCAUGGAUGACGGCUAGGCUUCUCGAGGGCAUGGAUGCCCUCUUGAAGCCGUUAGCAAAAAGACCAAACGCAACAAAGAGAACAAAAUUUCUAGCAGCGGCCUUUU